rnacentral:lncRNA from 1 species
AGUCAAAAACGUCAAAAAAGUCAAAAAAGUCAAAAAAGUCAAAAAAGUCAAAAAAGUCAAAAAAGUCAAAAAAGUCAAAAAAGUCAAAAAGGAGACAAAGAAAAAGCAAAAAAGGAGCCAAAGAAAAGGCCAAAAAAAAAAAAAGGCAAAAAGGCAAAAAAAAAAAAAAAAAACAAAAAAGAAAAACAGCAAAUAUGUCAGUGUACUCACUUAUGCAAUUGUACGACUACCUGUAUGUGGUAUUAGACGAAUAUGUCAUAAAGAAUACUAAACGUGUAAAUACAUAUCAAUCUAUAUUUAAAAAUCAAGAGCUAUUAAAUUUUUUAGAAAACAAUUACAAAGAUUAUUAUGAUCCAAGUAUACUAUCCACAAAACCAUCUUAUAAUAAAGACCUAAUUAUAGAUGAGUUAUUAUACACAUUUAAAGUAAUAGGAAUGUAUAUAAGUAACAAUAAUAUAUUUUCAAAAAAUGAACAUAUUGAUGAUAUACAUACAGAAUAUUUAAAAUUUUUACUUUUACCAUACAUUUUAGGUAUAUUAUGUUAUGAAACCGUUAAUAUUAAAAUUAGGUUGGACAGACUUAAACAGGCUAAAUUAUAUUUUAAUGAAUUUAUAGCUGUUUUAAAAAUUUAUGAAAUUAAUUUAAUUGAUGAUUAUUUGUAUGAAGAACAAAAAGAAAGCAACAGUACACUUUCUGCCAUCAAUAGACGUAACAUUAAAAUAAAAAGAGAAAGAGACAUUAUGAAAUUUCAAAAUAUAUAUGAACAAAUUAUUAAAACAAAACUAAAAACGAAAAAUAACAUCAGUAACAACAACAACAACAACAACAACAACAACAACAACAACAACAACAACAAUAGUAGCAAUAACAAACAUAAUGACUUAGACUACGAAAAGGAAGAUGAAAAUAGAGAGUUGUAUUUGUCCCUACUUAAUUUUAAAUGUAUACAAAUAUUAAAUAUGAUAGAUCUAAUAGACACGGAAAUACAAAUAUUACAAUUACGAAAUGAUGAAGAGAAUUAUAAUGAGCAGUUAAAAAACGAUGGAAAAAAUGUUAACUCUCGUACUGGUCUUACUACUAAUACAAAUUUAAGUGAUAUUAAAGCUAUAAAAAAAAAACCGUGGCUAUUUACAAUUAAAAAAAAUAUGCAAAUUUCUGACAUUAACGAAAUGAGAAAUUAUUAUAAAAAGUUAGUUUUUCAACCCGGACAUAAUUUACCUACCGUAUCACUAGAUGAGUGUGCACUAAUUGAGAUGAAAAACGCAGUAAAAGGUGAUAGUAAUAAUAGUGUUAACGUAUAUAAUGAUAACACUACUAUUAUCACUAAUACAGAGGGGGAAGUUUAUGGCAAUGGUUAUAAUAAUAAUAACAGAAAGGAUGAAGAGGAUGAGGACUAUUACAAAAAAUGCAUGUUAGAGGAAAAUGAAAAAACAAAAAAUGAACGAGAAUGGGA